rnacentral:rRNA from 1 species
AAACCAACAGGGAUGCCUUAGUAACGGCGAGUGAAGCGGCAACAGCUCAAAUUUGAAAUCUGGCUCUUUUAGAGUCCGAGUUGUAAUUUGCAGAGGGCGCUUUGGCGUUGGCAGCGGUCCAAGUUCCUUGGAACAGGACGUCACAGAGGGUGAGAAUCCCGUACGUGGUCGCUAGCCAUCGCCGUGUAAAGCCCCUUCGACGAGUCGAGUUGUUUGGGAAUGCAGCUCUAAAUGGGAGGUAAAUUUCUUCUAAAGCUAAAUACUGGCCAGAGACCGAUAGCGCACAAGUAGAGUGAUCGAAAGAUGAAAAGCACUUUGGAAAGAGAGUCAAAUAGCACGUGAAAUUGUUGAAAGGGAAGCGCUUGCAGCCAGACUUGCCUGUAGUUGCUCAUCCGGGCUUUUGCCCGGUGCACUCUUCUGCGGGCAGGCCAGCAUCAGUUUGGGCGGUUGGAUAAAGGUCUCUGUCAUGUACCUCUCUUCGGGGAGAACUUAUAGGGGAGACGACAUACAACCAGCCUGGACUGAGGUCCGCGCAUUUGCUAGGAUGCUGGCGUAAUGGCUGUAAGCGGCCCGUCUUGAAACACGGACCAAAGAGUCUAACAUCUAUGCGAGUGUUUGGGUGUCAAGCCCGAGCGCGUAAUGAAAGUGAACGGAGGUGGGACCCCUUUUAGGGUGCACCAUCGACCGAUCCUGAUGUCUUCGGAUGGAUUUGAGUAAGAGCAUGGCUGUUGGGACCCGAAAGAUGGUGAACUAUGCUUGAAUAGGGUGAAGCCAGAGGAAACUCUGGUGGAGGCUCCGCAGCGGUUCUGACGUGCAAAU